rnacentral:rRNA from 1 species
GUACACACCGCCCGUCGCUACUACCGAUUGAAUGGCUUAAUGAGGUCUUCGGACUGGUGAUGGGUUAUUGGCAACGAUAAGCCUAUUACUGGAAAGUUGAUCAAAUUUGGUCAUUUAGAGGAAGUAAAAGUCGUAACAAGGUUUUUUAUUGGUUCUUCUGCAGUGCGCCAAAGGAAGCCUUAGCAGCCUGAAAGGGUGUAUCUCCGCGACUAUAAAUAAAAAGGGGAUUUUAAAUGCUAGUCUGAUAAAAAAAGGCGACAUUGCCAAAUUGCGGGAAGUCCCUAAAGAUUCAACUACUAAGCAGCUUGUGGAAACACAGUUGUGGCCGAGUUAAUAGCCCUGGGUAUAGUAACAAUGUUGAAUAUGACUCUUAAUUGAGGAAAUGGGUGAUCCGCAGCCAAAUCCUAAGGACAUUUUAUUGUCUAUGGAUGCAGUUCACAGGCCAGAUGGCAAUGGGUAUCCUAGUGGGAUAUAUAUAUAUGGAUGCUUAAGAUAUGGUCGAGCUUCUCUCGAAA